UAGAUAAAUAGAACAAUUUAACUUAAAAAAAUAAAUAAUCUUCUCGAUCUUAUUUGUGAAAACUAUUUAAAAAAAAACAAUCUACCGCACAAAUUCUUCGGCACGCCACAUAAAUUCCACCACCAUUUUCACCAUCAAAAUGCACAGCCUCAGACUUGUGCAUUUAGAAAAAAAAAAAUCAUAAAAAAAUGACACAAAAACCACCACCAAUUGAUUUGGAAAAUAAAGUGGAGAUCAAUUCCAGACAUCAAUGACUGAGUUUACAGUUCAAAAGGUUCCUCCACGCCAUCCAGAACGAGUGAAAUGAAUCUCAUGUUUAAUAGAGACUUCAAUACAUGAGUGUGAUCCACAUUCCACAGACUUUGUAGUGUCUGCAAUCUCCGACCACUUGUUGAUGUGUUCGCUCUAAUCCAAAAAAAAACAACAUUCAACAAUUCUAUAUCGAGUAUAAAAAUGAUGCAGAGACUCCUUGCUCGCCACAGUAUUGGAUGCAGUCCGUUCGAGUGACAAUCAAGAUGUGCACGUUCGUAUUACAAACACAUUGCUAGGCAUGCAUUUUGUUCCCCUCAACUGUUGUGUGGAUUGAUAUGAUUUUAGAGAAAUUCAACGCCAACAUUUCUCAUAGUGGUCUUAAGUAAAGUGUCACACAAGACGUAUGUUUUGAUGUUAUAUAAUUCGACUGAAUAAAUCUAAAUCUCUAACCAAAGUUUCAACUUCAGAGUUUAUUUGUAAUUUCAUGUGUAGUUUCAAAAGGUUUAGAUUCACUAGGAACUAACUACUUCUUUUACGUACAAAUUUCACCACAUAAUUACGUACUUCCAGAUUCGAAGUUUCAGUGAUUAUUCUGUAGCUAAAAAAGUACUGGCAAAUGUACAUCAGAAGCACUUCCAGAUGUGCUUCGCUGAUGUACUUUUGAAGUACAUUUUUCUGUACUUUUAAUGGAGGGGAAAUUUAUUUCAUCUUGCAUGCGAGAAAGAGAUAGCUUCUUCACGU